ACGACUAAACCACGUUGGAAACACCAGUUUUCGUUUGAUCAACUAAGUUGGGCAAUGUCAGGCUCGGUUAGUACUUGCAUGGAUGAUCGGCUGGGAAUACCGGGUGUUUCGGCC
rnacentral:rRNA from 1 species